AUACCACCGCUAGUUUGGUUGCCUUUUGCAGAUCAAAGUGGUGUAACACCGUCGAGUGCCACGGAACUGUCGUUCCACUGUUCCCCUGGGUUAAAGAAGAAUCGAAAAUAGUAAUGGAAAGAAGUAAAAAAUCGUUGAGGUCCGCCCAACCCCCUGGCAACUUGACGUUUCCCAUACAAAUCGCGUGUGCCAGUUUUUUCUGGUUCUCUGGUUCUGUCAAAUCGAAAAUCGAGCUACUCAACAUGUCGAAAGGACCCAUAUUGAAAUAUGUUUUCUGUUACUGGUUCAAUAACUAAAAAAAAGUUUUGAAAUUAGAACUUUUUUCUAUGUUUUAUGUGAAGUGAAUCUGUUUUCAAAAGUUUAGUCUAAGAAAUCGAGUAGAGCGUUAAUUUGUGUGUCCUACAUAAGGUAUAAAAGUUCUGGACUGCUUUAAAUAAAUUACUGAUAUCCAGUAGUUUUUUGGGACAAGUUUACCUUCCACCGAAACUGUUGAAGACACUCAAGCACAAUAAAUGUAAAAUACAACACAACCCUAUCAAACAUUAAGAGAUUUCCCUAAAGUGCGAUGCAUAUGAGCAUUUUAAAUAACAAAACAAUCACAUUAUCGCAGAACUUUUGCCAUUUUAUAGAAAAACUGUUCCUACACAAUAUAUAAAUCGGUAGAAUAUUGAACAAGAUUAACAAUUUUGGUUAAAACUUUUUUUUAUUCAUUCAAAAGUUAUGAAUUUGCCUGAUUCUCACUACAUUUAAUAGUGUGCCCUUUCCAUAUGCAUGACUCGGAAAGUAUGUAAACAAGCGGCACACAUGCGACAUCUGCGAUUUUGAAACAGACACACGAAACUCGACCAAACUGUCAAGUUGCCAGGGGGUUGGGUCCGCCACGGAGCAUCCAAGUGAGACCAGAAGGAAAUAUAAUCACGGAAAAUACUGCUAUGCCAGCCUUAUAGACAGACUUAUUAUAACUUCAUUCCUAAGCCUGGAUUAUUCUUGAUUGAUAUUGUUGAUUGGGACAAAUUCACAAUCGAGCAUAACGGAGAUCCUGCCGAAAACAUGUCGAUAGCAGUUUGCUUAAAAAUGAUUCUCCUUGGACGCUGGUGCAAAUAACAACAGAAGUUUGCAAUACUGAAUCAAAGAUACCCUGGCCGAGAAUAUUGAGAUCCAAAAACUGUCUCCGAUGAUUUUCACUCGCGAGAUGAAACGGUACCUGGAUUCACUAUGAGCCAUUCCCUCACGGAAGAGGGAUCCGCACCACCACAGUACAGCGGGUAAUAUGGAAUAAAUUCAAAGAAGAACUACGACCCAACCAGGAGCUGGAGAUGGAGGUUUUCCGGAAAGGAACCGUUAAAGGCAACCGGAUAAUAAUGUAGCUCCUUCAAGGAGGCCACCGGGAAAGGAUAUAUUAAACCGAAUUGAGGUCACCUAUUAGAAUUGAACCCUCAGCCAAACAGAUUCAGAUAAGGACAUACCGGAAGAUCAACUCCCACAUCUGCUGUUACUGGCAAAGCUAGUACCAUUUUAUCAUGCGCCCGGCAGCUCUACAAGCCCCAAUUGUUCAACCAGAUGGUAUUGGAACUGAACGCCUCGGUCUCGAACCUCAAAGUAUCAUCGAAAAGUAUACCGACUAUGUGCAGUUUUGUUUCAUCUGUAACUACCUGAGCAAGAUUAUAACGGUUGUGUAGUCAAGUUGCAUCCGGUUUCGGUUUGCACCGCUGGCAGCAGCACAGAUUCUUCCCCGGCUGGAGCAUGUCGUUGAAGCCGAAAAUUUAAAAUUUCUGAAGACGUAAGAAAGCCCUAAUAAGGUUCUGAACGUGUUGCAAGUUGCAAGUACCUGGAUAGCAUUCAAAGAUGUAACCGAGCGUAAAAGCGAGUUUACCAACAUCGUUAAUUGGUUGCUGAAUGUCGGAAAAUUCCGGGAAACUUUAGAAAAAAUUCAAAAGCUGAAAUCCAAUAAAGGUUGAGCCCUGGAGGAUAUUCACUACUAUAUCCAUCGGAUGGAAUUUCCUUCUAGGUUGCAGUUGCUGAUUAAAAUCGCAGCAUUCGAACAAAGGUUGGCCGGACUGUUUUAGCAACGCCCGCCGUAUUGGAAACGAUUGUAUUGGCUUGCCAGCCGCAUUUAGACGGAGGAAAAGCAUCUUUCGAAUAUUGAAA